UGAUUUAAAUGAUCCUAACAAGGUGGGAGGACUCAGAAGCUUCAGUCUGUCUGAGAUCAUGCUGCAGCUGCUCCUCUCUGCUCUUCUCUUUGUUCCACACCUUCAAAAUGUCGACGCUGGUCCCAUUGAAGAGACCACAAAAGCGCCGCAGGGAGACGGGUUCAUCAGAGCGUUGGAGUAUAUGAAGAAAACCCCCGAGACUUUAGACGAGCUGAUGACCAGAAACUACGCGCUGGCCGAGGGAGACCUCGUGCUGUCAGU